UGGCGAGUGGCGAACGGGUGAGUAAUACAUCGGAACGUGCCCAAUCGUGGGGGAUAACGCAGCGAAAGCUGUGCUAAUACCGCAUAAGAUCUACGGAUGAAAGCAGGGGAUCGCAAGACCUUGCGCGAAUGGAGCGGCCGAUGGCAGAUUAGGUAGUUGGUGAGGUAAAGGCUCACCAAGCCUUCGAUCUGUAGCUGGUCUGAGAGGACGACCAGCCACACUGGGACUGAGACACGGCCCAGACUCCUACGGGAGGCAGCAGUGGGGAAUUUUGGACAAUGGGCGAAAGCCUGAUCCAGCCAUGCCGCGUGCAGGAUGAAGGCCUUCGGGUUGUAAACUGCUUUUGUACGGAACGAAAAGGUCUUUUCUAAUAAAGAAGGCUCAUGACGGUACCGUAAGAAUAAGCACCGGCUAACUACGUGCCAGCAGCCGCGGUAAUACGUAGGGUGCAAGCGUUAAUCGGAAUUACUGGGCGUAAAGCGUGCGCAGGCGGUUAUAUAAGACAGUUGUGAAAUCCCCGGGCUCAACCUGGGAACUGCAUCUGUGACUGUAUAGCUAGAGUACGGUAGAGGGGGAUGGAAUUCCGCGUGUAGCAGUGAAAUGCGUAGAUAUGCGGAGGAACACCGAUGGCGAAGGCAAUCCCCUGGACCUGUACUGACGCUCAUGCACGAAAGCGUGGGGAGCAAACAGGAUUAGAUACC
rnacentral:rRNA from 1 species